UGCCAGCCGCCGCGGUAAUACGGAGGGUGCAAGCGUUGUUCGGAAUUAUUGGGCGUAAAGGGCGCGCAGGCGGUCUUGUCCGUCAGGUGUGAAAGCUCGGGGCUCAACCCCGGAAGUGCACUUGAAACAGCAAGACUUGAAUACGGUAGAGGAGAGAGGAAUUCCUGGUGUAGAGGUGAAAUUCGUAGAUAUCAGGAGGAACACCGAUGGCGAAGGCAGCUUUCUGGACCGAUACUGACGCUGAGGCGCGAAGGCGUGGGUAGCGAACGGGAUUAGAUA
rnacentral:rRNA from 1 species